rnacentral:rRNA from 1 species
CGCCUGGGGAGUACGGCCGCAAGGUUAAAACUCAAAUGAAUUGACGGGGGCCCGCACAAGCGGUGGAGCAUGUGGUUUAAUUCGACGCAACGCGAAGAACCUUACCUGGCCUUGACAUGCAGAGAACUUUCCAGAGAUGGAUUGGUGCCUUCGGGAACUCUGACACAGGUGCUGCAUGGCCGUCGUCAGCUCGUGUCGUGAGAUGUUGGGUAAGUCCCGUAACGAGCGCAACCCCUAUCCCUAGUUGCUAGCAGUUCGGCUGAGAACUCUAGGGAGACUGCCGGUGACAAACCGGAGGAAGGUGGGGAUGACGUCAGGUCAUCAUGGCCCUUACGGCCAGGGCUACACACGUGCUACAAUGGUGCGCACAGAGGGCUGCAAACCCGCGAGGGGGAGCCAAUCUCACAAAACGCAUCGUAGUCCGGAUCGCAGUCUGCAACUCGACUGCGUGAAGUCGGAAUCGCUAGUAAUCGUGAAUCAGAAUGUCACGGUGAAUACGUUCCCGGGCCUUGUACACACCGCCCGUCACACCAUGGGAGUGGAUUGCACCAGAAGUGGUUAGUCUAACCUUCGGGAGGACGAUCACCACGGUGUGGUUCAUGACUGGGGUGAAGUCGUAACAAGGUAACCGUA